GGGGUAGGCGGAGGUUGUCUGCUGGUUUUGAGUGUGGGAGGGUGGGAGGAUGGGGGUAGGUGGUGGUUGUCUGCUGGUUCUGAGUGAGGGAGGAUGGAUGGUAGGUGGUGGUUGUCUGCUGGUUCUGAGUGUGGGAGGAUGGGAGGAUGGGGGUUAGGUGGUGGUUGUCUGCUGGUUCUGAGUGAGGGAGGAUGGAUGGUAGGUGGUGGUUGUCUGCUGGUUCUGAGUGUGGGAGGAUGGGGGGUAGGUGGUGGUUGUCUGCUGGUUCUGAGUGUGGGAGUAUGGAGGAUGGGGGUUAGGUGGUGGUUGUCUGCUGGUUCUGUGUGGGAGGAUGGGAGAAUGGGGGUAGGUGGUGGUUGUCUGCUGGUUCUGUGUGUGGGAGUAUGGAGGAUGGGGGUAGGUGGUGGUUGUCUGCUGGUUCUGAGUGUGGGAGAAUGGGAGGAUGGGGGGUAGGUGGUGGCUGUAUGCUGGUUCUGAGUGUGGGAGGGUGGGAGGAUGGGAGGAUGGGGG
rnacentral:lncRNA from 1 species